AUUAAACGCUGGUGGCAUGCCUUACACAUGCAAGUCGAACGGCAGCACGGGGCAACCUGGUGGCGAGUGGCGAACGGGUGAGUAAAGCAUCGGAACGUGCCCUGGAGUGGGGGAGUAACGUAGCGAAGUUACGCUAUACCGCAUAUUCUGUGAGCAGGAAAGCAGGGGAGUCGCAAGACCUUGCGCUGAUGGAGCGGCCGAUAUCAGAUUAGCUAGUUGGUUGGAGGUAAAGGGACUCACCAACGGCGGACGAUCUGUAGCGGGUCGUGAGAGGAUGAUCCGCCCACACUGGGACGUGAGGACACGGCCCGACGACUCCUACGGGAGGGCAGCAGUGGGGAAGUU
rnacentral:rRNA from 1 species